ACUUCAUUGCCCACACCAUACUCUAAAAUAUACAAAUCAACAAAUAGUGAAUUGACUUGCUUUGAAAAAUAUCAAAAAUAAUGAAUUCUUCUAGCCUACUAGCGUUAGAAAACUACAAAUUUUAGACAUCAAAUUAAAACUAUUAAUCAUGACAAGUCUAUAGUUGUCAUUUCAUCAAUUGUCUUAAAAUAGUAGAAAAAGAGAAAUAUUAUGAAGGAAAUGAUGAAA
rnacentral:misc_RNA from 1 species